UGUGAGUAAAUUAAUUAAUUAAGGUAAAAUUAAAGAUAAAUUAGUUAAUUAUAAAUUAACAAAUUAAUUAAUAAUUAAUUAAUUAUAAAUAAAUAAAUAAAUAAAAUAAUUAUUGAAAAUUAUAAAUAAUAAUAAUUUAAUUAAUAAGUAUAAAUAAUAAAUUAAUAAAUUAUUUUAUUAUUUAAGCAAUAAAUAAUAAUUUAAAUAUAUUAAUUAAACUAAUUAAUUAUUUAAUACCAUAAUUAAAAUUAUUUUUAGACUUUAAUUAAUUUUAUUCUCACCUGGGAACAAGCUUGUUCCAAGAAAAUGGUGGAACAACAGUUCUAGCUUUAUACCGGCUUAUUUCAGAAAUUCGAGAACUACUAUUCUCGGAUACCAAACGCAACGUUUGGGAACAAAAGGGAGAAUAUAGGCUUAUUCCCCCACUUGUUCUCGAACCAAAUAUUACCCUAGGGUUUAGUUGACGGAAUGACUAUAGUAUCAGCGACUAGUCGACAUAUCUGUAGAGUGUCGGGACGAGUCAGAAUCGUUUUCGCGCGAAAUGGAUGUGAAAACGGACUUGAUGCACUCAAAUAAGCCAAAUCUGAAGUUCUGUCAGUUUAAUUAGGACGCCCAGAAAUGGGCUUAGGGCGUCCAGAUCUUGAGUGCUGUUUUGUAUUGGAUGCUGAAGUCAUUUCGGACCCUUUUAGGGCGCCCGAAAAGUGGAUCCGAAAGUUCACUUCGUGAAUAUCGAUUGUAUUGACACGUGGCUAUGGUAGGUGAGAUCCGCUGGAACAGGAUAGAGGUGUAGUAGACCGUCAGACGGAGGAACCGAGGUGCUGUUUGUGUAGGCUGGAACUUUUGGGCGUUCAGAACUGGGUUUAGGCCG
rnacentral:lncRNA from 1 species